rnacentral:rRNA from 1 species
GGAAUAACACGAGGAAACUUGUGCUAAUACUGGAUAAGUCUUUACGGAGAAAGCUUUAUGCACCAUUGGAUGAGCCUGCACUUGAUUAGUUUGUUGGUAGGGUAAUGGCCUACCAAGACUGUGAUCAAUAGCUGAUUUGAGAGGAUGAUCAGCCACAUUGGGACUGAGACACGGCCCAAACUCCUACGGGAGGCAGCAGUGGGGAAUCUUGCACAAUGGAGGAAACUCUGAUGCAGCGAUGCCGCGUGAGUGAAGAAGGCCCUUGGGUUGUAAAGCUCUUUCGUCGGGGAAGAAAAUGACUGUACCCGAAUAAGAAGGUCCGGCUAACUUCGUGCCAGCAGCCGCGGUAAUACGAAGGGACCUAGCGUAGUUCGGAAUUACUGGGCUUAAAGAGUUCGUAGGUGGUUGAAAAAGUUGGUGGUGAAAUCCCAGAGCUUAACUCUGGAACUGCCAUCAAAACUUUUCAGCUAGAGUUUGAUAGAGGAAAGCAGAAUUUCUAGUGUAGAGGUGAAAUUCGUAGAUAUUAGAAAGAAUACCAAUUGCGAAGGCAGCUUUCUGGAUCAUUACUGACACUGAGGAACGAAAGCAUGGGUAGCGAAGAGGAUUAGAUACCCUCGUAGUCCAUGCCGUAAACGAUGUGUGUUAGACGUUGGAAAUUUAUUUUCAGUGUCGCAGCGAAAGCGAUAAACACACCGCCUGGGGAGUACGACC